rnacentral:rRNA from 1 species
AUUGAACGCUGGCGGCAGGCCUAACACAUGCAAGUCGAGCGGGGUUUUCGGACCUAGCGGCGGACGGGUGAGUAAUGCGUAGGAAGCUGCCCGAUAGAGGGGGAUACCAGUUGGAAACGACUGUUAAUACCGCAUAAUGUCUACGGACCAAAGUGUGGGACCUUCGGGCCACAUGCUAUCGGAUGCGCCUACGUGGGAUUAGCUAGUUGGUGAGGUAAUGGCUCACCAAGGCGACAAUAUCUAGCUGGUUUGAGAGGAUGAUCAGUCACACUGGAACUGAGACAGGGUCCAGACUCCUACGGGGGGCAGCAGUGGGGAAUAUUGGACAAUGGGCGCAAGCCUGAUCCAGCCAUGCCGCGUGUGUGAAGAAGGCCUUCGGGUUGUAAAGCACUUUCAGCGAGGAGGAAGGGGUUGUAGUUAAUAGCUGCAACCUUUGACGUUACUCGCAGAAGAAGCACCGGCUAACUCUGUGCCAGCAGCCGCAGUAAGAC